GAUUAACGCUGGCGGCGUGCAUAACACAUGCAAGUCGAACGAUGAAACUUAGUAGACUUCUUCGGAAAGACACUAAGCGGAUUAGUGGCGAACGGGUGAGUAACGCGUGAGUAACCUGCCUUACACAAGGGGAUAGCCUUUGGAAACGAGGAAUAAUACCCUAUAAAACCAUAAAAGCACAUGCUAGAAUGGUCAAAGUGAUAGCGGUGUAAGAUGGACUUGCGUCUGAUUAGCUAGUUGGUGAGAUAAACGCUCACCAAGGCAACGAUCAGUAGCCGGCUUGAGAGAGUGUACGGCCACAUUGGGACUGGGACACGGCCCAGACUCCUACGGGAGGCAGCAGUGGGGAAUUAUGCACAAUGGGGGAAACCCUGAUGCAGCGACGCCGCGUGAUUUAGAAGGCCUUCGGGUUGUAAAAAUCUUUUGUAUAGGAAGAAAAUGACAGUACUAUACGAAUAAGGUCCGGCUAAUUACGUG
rnacentral:rRNA from 1 species